rnacentral:rRNA from 1 species
GAUGAACGCUGGCGGCGUGCCUAAUACAUGCAAGUCGAGCGAACGGACGAGAAGCUUGCUUCUCUGAUGUUAGCGGCGGACGGGUGAGUAAAACGUGGAUAACCUACCUAUAAGACUGGGAUAACUUCGGGAAACCGGAGCUAAUACCGGAUAAUAUUUUGAACCGCAUGGUUCAAAAGUGAAAGACGGUCUUGCUGUCACUUAUAGAUGGAUCCGCGCUGCAUUAGCUAGUUGGUAAGGUAACGGCUUACCAAGGCAACGAUGCAUAGCCGACCUGAGAGGGUGAUCGGCCACACUGGAACUGAGACACGGUCCAGACUCCUACGGGAGGCAGCAGUAGGGAAUCUUCCGAAAUGGGCGAAAGCCUGACGGAGCAACGCCGCGUGAGUGAUGAAGGUCUUCGGAUCGUAAAACUCUGUUAUUAGGGAAGAACAUAUGUGUAAGUAACUGUGCACAUCUUGACGGUACCUAAUCAGAAAGCCACGGCUAACUACGUG